CUCUAACACACACAAAAAAAACAUUUAGUCACCUGUGGAAUGGACAGGACUGAAAAAACACCAUCCAAUCAUUUUAAUCAGCCCAUCGAAAUGAUUGAAUGGUGAUAUGACUAUCAAACUCAAAUGCCAUUUGUCACUCCCCCUCUGCACAUGCAGUUCCGUACUAUGCAGGUGU